AGGCCUUGUACAGAGACAAGCCUGCGGGGCUGGGCCGUGCUGCUGCCUCUGCUGGGGAACAGGCACCGCAGAGCCACAGGUGGCCCCAGUUGCCAGUGACAUGAACCCACGGAUGAGACAGAAGAGACUUGAGACUUUGAGAAUAACCAAGGGGAACUGAGAGCUAUGUUCUGGGAGCUAUGUUUCUUGCAGGAGCAAGGAAGUUAGCAACAGAAGGAGAGAAGGAGAACAGAAGGCAUGCUGGGCAAAUCUUUCAGUCUCUCCCUGCCUCAACCUCCCCACCUGUAACAUGGGAAAUACAAGGUCCCUCUCCCAGAGCUGUUGGUGAGAUCAUGGAUGUGAAUGCAUUUGGGGAGUCUGAGCAUAGACUGCUGGUUGUCCCCCAAUAUCCAUUCUCCCCUCCUCUCACCUUUAAUAAGGCCCAUGGCUGCCUGGAAUCGAGACUCUCUUCCCAGCCUCCCUGGGGGCCAUUUUAGCCACGUGACUCAAUUCUGACUGUGAGCUGUAAGCACAAGUGUAGCGUGCAGUUCUGGGAGUGUCCUGAAAGGGAGAACAUGCGCUUCUUUGUCCCCUUCUUCUCCUAGGGGCUGGAACCAAACAGCCACCAUGGACCAUGAAGAGGAAGCCACUUGAAGAAGAGAGCUGGGGCUGGCCCGUGGCCGAGUGGUUAAGUUCGUGCGCUCUGCUUCGGCGGCCCAGGGUUUCGCUGGUUCGGAUCCUGGGCACGGACAUGACACCACUCAUCAGGCCACGCUGAGGCGGCGUCCCACAGAGCUCAACCAGAGGCACUCACAACUAGGGUAUACGACUAUGUACUGGGGGCUUCGGGGAGAAGAAGAAGAAGAAGAAAAAAAGAAGAUUGGCAACAGUUGUUAGCUCAGGUGCUGAUCUUUAAAAAAGAAAUAAAAAUAAACAAGAGAGCUGAGCAGCAAGAAAGAAUGAUUGACAUUGACUCUGAGAAACUUCUCUUCCACCUUCUAGGUUCUUGAUUGUUUGAGAGAGAAAUAAACUUCUGUCUUUGGGGCACUGUUUUUCUCCUCGGGGUGGUGUCUGUCACCCACAGCUGAACUUAAUCCUGGUCCCUACAGACUAGAACCUAGAUCUGUCUGUCCCCAAGGAACCUAUCCUCGGGGACCCUACCUAUCUACCGAGGAGCCCACCACUCCGUCUUAAGUCCUGAUGGAAGGCUGCAGUGCUCAGGAUGUGCCAAUGAGAGGCCCAUUAGAGCAGGCAAGCCCUGGCUCCAGCUGAGCCUCCCGUGCCGAGUUCUGGUUAGAAGGUGCCGGUGGCCACCGUGGAGUUCCCGAAAUGGCUGGAGGUUCAGUUUGGCGGAAGGGCAGGAAAAGAGCUUGACGAGUGGGGAGGCUGAGGACAGAGGACUGGCUGGAGAUUACAUGCUGACUGGCUUAAAUCCAGCAUUUGGGAAAGCAGGAAGUCCACCCAAACCCACCUGCAGACAGUUAGAAGAGCGUGGAAGCGAGGAGGCCUCACGCGGCCGACCUCACCCUCGGAGUGCCUGUGAGUGACUCCCUGUACCCACCACGCAGAAAGGACCCCCGGGGCUCCCCUUCCACCACCUGGGGAGACAGAGUGCCACAGCGCGCCAGUGGCCACAUAGUGGCCAUCUGUGUUCCGGCAGCCCUGCACCUGUGCACCCUUCUCAGCACCAACACCACCCAACUUUCCCCUGGGAAUCCCCACCCUCCCUUCAGCCCAGGGCUUCAAAGGCAGCUGACUCCACCCCAGGUCCAGGGACACCACGUGCCUCAGACCUGGCCAAAGUGCCUGUAUUCCCCCAGCCAUUCUGAUUGGUCGGGGAGACCAUGUGAUCCAGGGAGACCCAGUGCCGAGUCUGUCAGAGGAGAGCAGACUUUCUUUUCCAUGAAUUGAACCUGGGAGGAUGUAACCCUGAGGCUGCUCAAAGCCGUUUUGCUACCAGAUGGAGCCUCAGGAUGAAGCAGAAACGGGAAGAGCCAAGAGACAGGCCUCCCGGUCCCAGCUGGAUCCUGUCCUGAGGCUCAUUGCCCCUCACGUUUAUAGAUAUCAGUACAUUUCUUCUCCCGUCACCACCCAGAACUCCUUGCUUGUGCACAUUCUGGUCUCUCGAACUAGGACACCAUUUCUUCCCCAGCUGGGAAGGUCUCCCCCUCCAGCGUCUUAAGGCCAGCUUACACCGCCCCUCCCCUGAGGAGGCCGCUCUCAUCCUCUGCCCUGGUUGAGCAUAGGACACCUGCAACAAACCAUUUCCACGUCUGCUCCACCGCCAGCAUAGGAGUUUCUCAAGGAUAAGACCUGCGUCUCCUUUAACUCUGUGUCUAGCACCCAGCAUCCAGUAGGCACUCACUACAUGUUAGUUGAAUAAAUAAAUGAAUGACUGCAGAGGAGCAAGCUAAUCGUUCAUCAAGUUUAUGGAUGACAUGAAAUUGGGAGCGGUUUCUAGCCAGAGGUUGGAAUCGUAAAGCAGAUUGGCUUUUGCAAAUGAGAAUAUGACAAGGCUGAAUCGGAACCGGAUGACGUUCAUUAAGUAACUAGUUUGAAGAAGUCGCUGCAAGUCUGAGAGCUGGGGUGUGAUGGUUUCUGCGCAUAUUCUAAGGCAAGCUGUGGGUGGCAGACUGGAUGGAGCAAAGAAGCUGGCCAUCAAGGGCUGGUCUCCCCUUUGAGGCAAUUGACCCAGUUGGGUUCAGUUCACAAGUUCCCACCUGCCUCCUGUGGGUUGUGGUUCCAAGAGACUUCAAAUAGCCAAUCCAUGUGUUCAGUCCAGGUUUUAAGAUGCAUUCAGUGGGAGACACAGAGUAGAGUAUGUUUACCUCAUCUUACCUGGAACUAGAACCUCAGGAAAAGCUGGAACGAGACGGCCUAUGGAAUAGCAAGAUUGAUUGUGUCGUUCUGGCCUUUGAGGGAAGAAGGGGGAAAAAAUCAAAUUAUUGGACAGGGUCCUUUUAAGGAGCUGCUGCUUUAAUUUGUUUUCUUAUAUUUUGUCAAUAGCUGUUGUUUUUUAUUAAACAAGUGCUGUGCUUUACAAA
rnacentral:lncRNA from 1 species